AGUAGCUGUACUGUGUAGCACCAUGGUCUAGACACUACUUGGACAGCAUGUCUCACCUGCCGAUGAAACUCCUACGCAAGAAGAUCGAGAAGCGGAACUUCAAAUUGCGGCAGCAGAACCUAAAGUUUCAGGGGGCCUCAAAUCUGACCCUGUCAGAAACUCAAAUUAGAGAUGUGUCUGAAGAAACAAUGGGAGGUGGAAAGGUUAAAAAAUCAAAACAUUCUAUGAACGUGGGCUUAUCAGAUGCUCAAAAUGGAGACGUGUCUCAAGAAGCAGUGGAAAAUAUAAAAGUUAAAACAUCUCCCCUGAAAUCCACUGUAUUAACCAAUGAAGAAGCAGCAAUGCAGUCUCCUAAUUCAGAAUCAAAAAAGAAAAAGAGAAAAAUGGUGAAUAAUGCUGGACCGGAUACAAAAAAAGCAAAAACUGAAAACAAAGGGGAAUCUGAAGAAGAAAGUGCCAAGACUCCUAAAGAAACAGAAAAUAAUGUGGAGAAGCCAGAUAAUGAUGAAGAUGACAGUGAGGUGCCCAGUCUGCCCCUGGGACUGACAGGAGCUUUUGAGGAUACUUCAUUUGCUUCUCUAUGUAAUCUUGUCAACGAAAAUACUCUGAAGGCAAUAAAAGAAAUGGGUUUUACAAACAUGACUGAAAUUCAGCAUAAAAGUAUCAGACCACUUCUGGAAGGCAUGGAUCUUCUUGCAGCUACAAAAACCGUCAGUGGUAAACCCCCGGCUUUUCUCAUCCCUGCAGCUGAACUCAUUGUUAAAUUUAAGUUCAUGCCCAGGAAUGGAACGGGGGUCCUUAUUCUCUCAUCUACUAGAGAACUAGCCAUGCCAACUUUUGGUGUUCUUAAGGCGUUAAUGACUCACCACGUGCAUACCUAUGAGCUGAUAAUGGGUGGCAGUAACAGACCUGCUGAAGCAUAGAAACUUGCUAACGGGAUCAACAUCCUUGUGGUCACACCAGGCCAUCUGCUGGACCAUAUGCAGAAUAUCCCAGGGUUUAUGUAUAAAAAUCUGAAGUGUCUGGUCAUUGAUGAAGCUGAUCGUAUCUUGGAUGUUGAGUUUGAAGAGGAAUUAAAGCAAAUUAUUAAACUUUUGCCAACACGUAGACAGACGAUGCUUAUUUCUGCCACCCAAACUCAAAAAGUUGAAUGCCUGGCAAGGAUUUCUCUGAAAAAGGAGCCAUUGUAUGUUGGUGUUGAUAACACAGCUAAUGCAACAGUGGAUGGUCUUGAGCAGGGAUAUGUUGUUUGUCCUUCUGAAAAGAGAUUCCUUCUGCUCUUUACAUUCCUUAAGAAGAACCAAAAAAAAACAAGCUGAUGGCCUUCUUUUCAUCUUGUAUGUCCGUGAAAUACCACUAUGAGUUGCUGAACUACAUUGAUUUGCCCAUCUUGGCCAUUCAUGGAAAGCAAAAGCAAAAUAAGCAUACAACCACAUUCUUCCAGUUCUGCAAUGCAGAUUCGGGAACACUAUUGUGUACAGAUGUGACAGCAAGAGGACUGGACAUUACUGAAGUCGAUUGGAUUGUUCAGUAUGACCCUCUGGAUGACCCUAAGGAAUAAUAUUCACCAUGUGGGUAGAACAGCCAGAGGCCUAAAUGGGAGAGGGCAUGCCUUGCUCAUUUGGCACCCAGAAGAAUUGGGUUUUCUUCACUACUUGAAACAAUCCAAGGUUCCGUCAAGUGAAUUUGACUUUUCCUGGUCUAAAAUUUCUGACAUUCAGUCUCAGCUUGAAAAGAACUACUUUCUUCACAAGUCAGCCCAGGAAACAUAAAAAUCAUACAUACAAGCCUAUGAUUCCCAUUCUCUGAAACAGAUCUUUAAUGUUAAUAACUUCAAUUUGCCUCAAGUUACUCUAUCAUUUGGUUUCAAGGUGCCUCCCUUUGCCGAUCUGAAUGUCAACAGCAAUGAAGGCGAGCAGAAAAAGCGAGUAGGCAGUGGUGGAUUUGGCUACCAGAAAACCAAGAAAGUUGAGAAGUCCAAAAUCUUUAAACACAUUAGCAAGAAAGUAUCCAACAGUAGGCAGUUCUCCCAUUGA